rnacentral:rRNA from 1 species
CUACGGGUUGCACCAGUCGAGAAUCUUUUGCAAUGUCCGAAAGGAUGACAAUGCGACGCCGCGUGAGCGAUGAAGCCCUUCGGGGUGUAAAGCUCUGUCAGCCCGGAUGAAUAUCCGUUUUCGAAUAAAAGACGGAGAUGACGGUACGGGCAAAGGAAGCCACGGCUAACUCCGUGCCAGCAGCCGCGGUAAUACGGAGGUGGCAAGCGGUGUUCGGAUUCAUUGGGUGUAAAGGGUAUGUAGGCGUCCCGAUAAGUCAAAUGUGAAAUCCCUUGGCUCAACCAAGGAACUGCAUUUGAAACUGUCGGGAUUGAGUAUGGAAGAGGAGAGCGGAAUUCCCGGUGUAAGGGUGAAAUCUGUAGAUAUCGGGAGGAACACCAGUGGCGAAAGCGGCUCUCUGGUCCAAUACUGACGCUGAAAUACGAAAGCUAGGGGAGCAAACAGGAUUAGAUACCCGUGUAGUC